rnacentral:rRNA from 1 species
GCAAGUCGAACGCGAACGGCUCUUCGGAGCUAAGUAGAGUGGCGGACGGGUGAGUAACGCGUAGGAAUCUACCUAUUAGUGGGGGAUAACAUGGAGAAAUUCAUGCUAAUACCGCAUGUGCCCUACGGGGUAAAGAGGGCCUCUUCUUGAAAGCUCUUGCUAGUAGAUGAGCCUGCGUCGGAUUAGCUUGUUGGUGGGGUAAUGGCCUACCAAGGCGACGAUCCGUAGCCGGCCUGAGAGGGUGAAC